GCAACAAGCAACGCGUUUACCUGACUGCAAGAUGGUGCAUCUUGCGCGCGCGUUACCUGCAGGUACGUACUCUACGCUCUCCAUUAAAGGUUACAAGCUUUCGCUGGAUGGAUGGGAUCCUCCUCCUGCACCCCACCUUCGCCGCCGACGAGCAAGCAAAGCAACCCUGCUCCAUCAUCGUCUUCCGUUCAUUCCUUCAAUUCUCCAGCUACACUGAGUCAAAUCGCCCUCCUCCACUGUCGGCUAAAAUCAAGAUCCGACGGUCCAGCAGCCAUCUUCUUCCCCAGCAACAACCCUCUCCUUCCUCUGUUUUUCUUGCUCUUGUGGGUGCUUGCCCCUUCCUCUCCACCUGCUCGCCUCCCAAGAGGUCUGUUUCUCAGGAAGAAGAAGAGGAUCCUCCAGUAAGCCUGUUGGGUGGGAGAUAGACGCAGCAUGGAUUUCAUCAAACUCGAGGUGCUCCAAGACAUCACAAACAACUUGGCAGAUGACCGGAGAGUCGGAAGCGGUGGGUACGGAGUUGUUUACAGGGCGACGCAUGAUGGGCAAGAGAUUGCCGUGAAGAGGCUGCAUCAAUUGCACGGUCUCAACGACAAGCAAUUCGACAGCGAGUUUCGUAACCUUCUUAAUAUACGCCACCAAAAUGUUGUGCGGCUAAUUGGCUACUGCCACGAGUCUCGGAACAAAUACAUGAAGCACAAGGGGGAGCUUAUCCGCGCUAAAGAGAUGGAGCGAGUGCUCUGCUUCGAAUAUAUGCACGGCGGAAGCCUCGAUAAACACAUUCAAGAUGAAUCUUGUGGGCUUGAGUGGCCAACAUGUUUCAAGAUUAUUAAUGGGACCAGUGAGGAACUACAUCACCUUCACACCUCGCAGGGAAAACCUAUUUUCCAUCUGGAUUUAAAGCCUGGUAAUAUUUUGCUGGAUGAAAGUAUGACACCCAAAAUUGGAGACCUUGGUUUGUCAAGGCUCGUUGCUUCAACAAAAACACGACAAACAGAGAUGCGUGAUGGAACGCUGUAAGGAUUCAUGCCACAGGAGUACGUUGACAGUGGCUUGAUUUCAAAGAAGUUUGACGUGUUCAGUUUGGGCGUCAUAAUUAUAAAAAUGUUGGCCGGGGAGAAGAGCUACUAUCGUCGUUCUGAAACGCCCGAACAGUUUAUUGAGCGUGUAAGAGAAAACUGGAUGAAGAAGUUGCAGGCAAAGCCUGGAUAUUCCUCGCAAGAAAUAGACAUACUAGGAGUGACUUCAUGUGUUGAGGUUGCAGUAAAGUGUGUGGACAUGGACCGAAGCAAAAGACCAUGCAUCCAGCAGAUCGUCCAUGAACUGGAGGAACUAGAAGCUAAGCUUAAAACAAUUUCACUAGCUCCUGAUGUGUCAAAAACUGUCCAGCGAAGCUGUGACACGAACAUUCUCUCGGUGGAUCCAACCAUGGAGGUGCGGUUCCUCUUUGAGCUAAGGAAGGAGGCGUCGUGCUGCCUGCAGCUGACCAACAAGACGGGUGGCUUCAUCGCAUUCAACAUAUUGAUCAAUGAGAACAAUUACAUUGUGCGGCCAAGCCAAGGGACCAUCCCGCCGUGCUCCAGGCGUUAUGUCGUCGUGAUGCUACGGGCGAAGGAGGCGGCUCCGCCGUACAUGCGGUGCGAUGACAUGCUCCUCGUGCAGAGCACUGGCGUUAGCCAAGAUCUUGGUGAUAUGAACUAUCGAGAAUUGUUCAAGACGGCCAUGGGGAAUGAGGUGGUUGAUGUGGUGAAGCUGCCGAUCGCUUAUGUUACAUUGGACCAGUAGUAGAGCAUUCUCCACCAGGAACUGAGAAUAGCUCAGGUGGUAAAGCGCCGUGUUAGUAAAUUCACACAGUUCUUGAGUUGUUGUUUGUUGAUGGGUGUUCUCUUUUAGGUCUUGAGUCGAUUGUUUGUUCUUCGAUUAUGCUGUCUUCGAUUAGUUGAUGUGGUGCAACUCCGAUCGUUUGUUAUUCGAUUAUAUGUUAUCGUCCAUUGGUU